GCCUACGGGGGGCGGCAGUGGGGAAUAUUGCACAAUGGGGGAAACCCUGAUGCAGCGACGCCGCGUGAGCGAAGAAGUAUUUCGGUAUGUAAAGCUCUAUCAGCAGGGAAGAAAAAAAUGACGGUACCUGAGUAAGAAGCACCGGCUAAAUACGUGCCAGCAGCCGCGGUAAUACGCAUGGUGCAAGCGUUAUCCGGAUUUACUGGGUGUAAAGGGAGCGCAGGCGGCGCGUUAAGUCUGAUGUGAAAACCCGCGGCUCAACCACGGGAGUGCCUUGGCGACUGGUGGGGUGGGGGUGCG
rnacentral:rRNA from 1 species